UUAACGAAAAUUCCCGGUCCCACCAACAGUGUUUGGUAAAUUAGCGACUCUCCAUAGAACCUGCUUCACUGUCUGCUGCAAAUGGAAACCAUUUUGUCCCUGUUACCUUUUGACUCCUUGCUUUUGCAUGCAAGCAGGGAAGCUGAAAAUCCAGCAAAUCCGGAAAAAGAAGUUUGCCAGAUAUCAUAGCACUAAUCUCUACACAAAACAACUCCUGACAAACAACCCCACCGAGGCACCAAAUGCAUCCAUGACACCAAAUAAAAAAGACGGGUGCCCCCAAAAGUAAGUAAAAUAUAUACUCGUGCCUCUUGUUUUUGCUAAGCAUGCAAUAUGUUGCAUUGAAGGGAUCAACAUAUAUUAAUAGCCUACAUGAUGGAAAGGUAAUUUCUAGGCCAGGGUUCGUGUAUCGGACAGCUUGCCAGUUGGGCAUCCACAUCGAGACCAGAGAAGACACGAGAAAUUAUUUCCUUAUCGCCUGGCCUUGAGUGAAUCACCUCGUGCUGGAACCGAUGCGUUUCUUGAUCUCCGAAUGCAGCUUUUUGAACAUUUGUGGCUCAAUAUCUCUCCCAUAUAUGCAGCCUUCUAAUCCUUAUCUGGUUUCUUCCGUCUCAUAUCUCAUGAGGAUAGAGGGAAAAAAGGGUGGUGUUAUCAACUUCAUUGUAUCGUGAGUUUUGUUAUCUUCUGUUUGUACUUCUCAAUACCUAAUCCAUCAUCUCUUCCCUGACCAUGAUCCAAAGUUCUAUCCAUUUACAUAUCUUUCCCAAUACACAAUGUCAUUCAUUUAACAA
rnacentral:lncRNA from 1 species